AGUAAAGUGGCCGAGAAUAGGCGAAAGAUUGUAGCUCUUUUUACGGAUUACCCCCUUUACAA
rnacentral:tRNA from 1 species